GAUGAACGCUGGCGGCGUGCCUAAUACAUGCAAGUCGAGCGAACAGACGAGGAGCUUGCUCCUCUGACGUUAGCGGCGGACGGGUGAGUAACACGUGGAUAACCUACCUAUAAGACUGGGAUAACUUCGGGAAACCGGAGCUAAUACCGGAUAAUAUAUUGAACCGCAUGGUUCAAUAGUGAAAGACGGUUUUGCUAUCACUUAUAGAUGGAUCCGCGCCGCAUUAGCUAGUUGGUAAGGUAACGGCUUACCAAGGCAACGAUGCGUAGCCGACCUGAGAGGGUGAUCGGCCACACUGGAACUGAGACACGGUCCAGACUCCUACGGGAGGCAGCAGUAGGGAAUCUUCCGCAAUGGGCGAAAGCCUGACGGAGCAACGCCGCGUGAGUGAUGAAGGUCUUCGGAUCGUAAAACUCUGUUAUUAGGGAAGAACAAAAGUGUAAGUAACUAUGCACGUCUUGACGGUACCUAAUCAGAAAGCCACGGCUAACUACGUG
rnacentral:rRNA from 1 species